AGCUAUGCGCAGCGGCGGUUCCAUAGCAAUUGAGGUUUAUCCGAGGCGUGGUUAAAGCUAAUUGAAAACUAUAAAACAACUAUGAUUGUGUUUUCUUGUAUGUAAAUAGUCACAAUAUGUUUGCAUUUGUGCGCG